UAGGUGAUGGGUGUGCUUGUGAUGGUAGGUGAUGGGUGUGCUUGUGAUGGUGGGUGAUGGGUGUGCUUGUGAUGGUGGGUGAUGGGUGUGCUUAAGAUGGUAGGUGAUGGGUGUGCUUGUGAUGGUAGGUGAUGGGUGUGCUUGUGAUGGUGGGUGAUGGGUGUGCUUGUGAUGGUGGGUGAUGGGUGUGCUUAUGAUGGUAGGUGAUGGGUGUGCUUGUGAUGGUAGGUGAUGGGUAGUGCUUGUGAUGGUGGGUGAUGGGUGUGCUUGUGAUGGUGGUGAUGGGUGUGCUUAUGAUGGUAGGUGAUGGGUGUGCUUGUGAUGGUAGGUUGAUGGGUGUGCUUGUGAUGGCGGUGAUGGGUGUGUGCUUGUGAUGGUGGGUGAUGGGUGUGCUUAUGAUGGUAGGUGAUGGGUGUGCUUGUGAUGGUAGGUGAUGGGUGUGCUUGUGAUGUGGGUGAUGGGUGUGCUUGUAUGAUAGGUGAUGGGUGUGCUUAUGAUGGUAGGUGAUGGGUGUUCUUGUGAUGGUGGGUGAUGGGUGUGCUUGUGAUGGUAGGUGAUGGGUGUG